GAGGCCAGGCUGGAGGCACAUUCUCGUCUCCACCCCUGGACGCUUCCAGAGUGGUUUGCCCUAACUGCCACCACCACCACCUCCUCAGCUCCUAGGAUGCCCUUGACUUUUUGCCAUUGGGUCACACUCCCCUGCUAACAGGCCAAAUCCAGAUGCUUUUCUGACCGCGUGGCCCAGAGCCUCUGGCAGUGCAGCUUCGGGCUGUCCUGACAACACCCCUGCCCCCUGCACCUCUGCAUCUUCCUCCUUGCCCCAAGACAAUCCUGUUCCCUGGAUCCCAUUUGUGGCCCACUCCCUUCCACGACCCACACAUUAUACUGCUAGGAUAUACCAGCGCCCCCGUGAUCCGAGUCGAAUUCCUUCUUCUGAGGAGCCAAGAGUUGUGGUUGCUGAAGACCCAUCCGGAUUCACUGCCAGUGACUUGGACACCUUCCACUGCUAACACUAUUAACUGGGACACCUUCCACUGCUAACACAAUAACACUUGGUUAUUGUGUUUAUUUGGAGAAGUCUCACUCUGUUGCUCGGAAUGGAGUGCAGUGGCAGGAUCUCAGCUUGCUGGAAACUUCACCUCCUGACUUCAAGCAAUUCUUCGGCCUCGGCCUCCUGAGUAGCUGGGAUUACAGACAUGCACCACCACGCCUGCCAUUUUUUUUUUUUUUUUUUUUUGAGAUGGAGUCUUGUUCUGUCGCCCAGGCUGGGGUGCAGUGGCACCAUCUUGGUUCACUGCAAGCUCCACCUCCCGGGUUCACGCCAUUCUCCUGCCUCAGCUUCCCGAGUAGCUGGGACCACAGGCGCCCGCCACUAUGCCCGGCUAAUUUUUUGUAUUUUUAGUAGAGACGGGGUUUCACCGUGUUAGCCAGGAUGGUCUCGAUCUCCUGACCUCGUGAUCCGCCCACCUCGGCCUCCCAGUAAUUUUUGUAUUUUUAGUAGAGAUGGGUUUUCACCAUGUUGCCCAGGCUGGUCUUGAACUCCUGACCUCAAGUGAUUCGCCCACCUCGGCCUCCUAAAGGGUUGGGAUUAGAGGUGUGAGGCACUGUGCCCGGCCAACUUCUCGCAUUUUCUUUCUUUUCUUUUCUUCUUUUUUUUUUUUUUUUUUUUUUUAGAUGGUGUCUUACUCUGUUGCCCAGGCUUGAGGGCAGUGGCAUGAUCUCAGCUCACUGCAACCUCCACCUCCUGGAUUCAAGUGAUCCUCCCACCUUAGCCUCCCAAGUAGCCGGAAUUACAGGUGCAUGCCACCACGCUAGCUAAUUUUUGUAUUUUUUAGUAGAGAUGGGGUAUCACCAUGUUGGCCAGGCUGGUCUUGAGCUCCUGACCUCAAAUGAUGUGCCCAACUCGGCCUCCCAAAGUGCUGGGAUUACAGACAUGAGCCACCCUGCCUGGCCUUCACAUUUUCUUUAGAUUAUUUCUUAGAAUGUCUACCUCUCUGUUCCCAUUAUCAGUCUGUAAUCUCAUGUUGUCUACUUUUUCCAUUAGCGCACUUAGCGUAUUAAUCAUAGUUGUAUUCCAUUUCUUGGUCUGAUAAUUCCAACAUCUCUGCCUAUUUAAGUCUGGCUCUGAUGUUUGCUGUGUCUUCAAACUGUGUUUUUUUUUAUUAUGCCUUGCAAGUUUUUGUUGAGGGCUGGUCGUGCUCAACCAGUAAGAGGUAAAUGGACUUUCUGUGUGAAGUUUUAUGUAGGUCUGGUUAGGGGUUGGGCCAUGUGUGCUGUUUGUUAACCGGAGGUGUCAGAGCCUUAAACCUCCUCUAGUGUCUUAGUUUUUGUCUCUCUGUUGUCUUUACGGUUUCCUAGAGAUUUCUCGAAUAAGCUCUGAGAUGAGCAGUUCUUUCACUUGUAUCCCCUGUUAUUAUUACAGGAGCCCCGUUGAUGUGGCAGUAAGAUGUGGGGAAGGGGAGCCAGAGCAGGCUGGGGUUAGCUACGUUCCCUUCCUCCAGGUUUGUUGGUAUCUGGCAAAAUUACGAUUGGCCUGGCUGUGAUUUUUUUUUUUUUUUU